rnacentral:tRNA from 1 species
GCCCAGGUGGUGAAAUUGGUAGACACGCAUGCUUGAGGGGCAUGUGCUCGAAAGGGCGUGUAAGUUCGAAUCUUAUUCUGGGCACAA